GAUGAACGCUGGCGGCGUGCUGAACACAUGCAAGUCGAACGAAGCAUUUAAGACAGAGUACUUCGGUUUGAAGUCUUUUAUGACUGAGUGGCGGACGGGUGAGUAACGCGUGGGUAACCUGCCUCAUACAGGGGGAUAGCAGCUGGAAACGGCUGGUAAUACCGCAUAAGCGCACAGUACCACAUGGUACAGUGUGAAAAACGCCGUUGGUAUGAGAUGGACUCGCGCCUGCUUAGCUUGUUGGCGGGGUAACUGCCCACCAAGGCGACGAUCAGUAGCCGACCUGAGAGGGAGGCCGGCCACAUUGGGACUGAGACACGGCCCAGACUCCUACGGGAGGCAGCAGUGGGGAAUGUUGCACAAUGGAGCAAACUCUGAUGAAGCCACGCCGCGUGACUGAAGAAGUAGUUCUAUAUGUAUACUUCUCUCAGCUGGGAAGAUAGUGACGAUACCUGACUAAGAAGCCCCGGCUAGGUACGUG
rnacentral:rRNA from 1 species